CAUGCAAGUCGAGGGGCAGCAUGGUCUUAGCUUGCUAAGGCCGAUGGCGACCGGCGCACGGGUGAGUAACACGUAUCCAACCUGCCGUCUACUCUUGGACAGCCUUCUGAAAGGAAGAUUAAUACAAGAUGGCAUCAUGAGUCCGCAUGUUCACAUGAUUAAAGGUAUUCCGGUAGACGAUGGGGAUGCGUUCCAUUAGAUAGUAGGCGGGGUAACGGCCCACCUAGUCUUCGAUGGAUAGGGGUUCUGAGAGGAAGGUCCCCCACAUUGGAACUGAGACACGGUCCAAACUCCUACGGGAGGCAGCAGUGAGGAAUAUUGGUCAAUGGGCGAGAGUCUGAACCAGCCAAGUAGCGUGAAGGAUGACUGCCCUAUGGGUUGUAAACUUCUUUUAUAAAGGAAUAAAGUCGGGUAUGGAUACCCGUUUGCAUGUACUUUAUGAAUAAGGAUCGGCUAACUCCGUGCCAGCAGCCGCGGCAAUACGGAGGAUCCGAGCGUUAUCCGGAUUUAUUGGGUUUAAAGGGAGCGUAGAUGGAUGUUUAAGUCAGUUGUGAAAGUUUGCGGCUCAACCGUAAAAUUGCAGUUGAUACUGGAUAUCUUGAGUGCAGUUGAGGCAGGCGGAAUUCGUGGUGUAGCGGUGAAAUGCUUAGAUAUCACGAAGAACUCC
rnacentral:rRNA from 1 species